UACGGGGGGUGCAAGCGUUAAUCGGAGUUAUUGGGCGUAAAGGGUGCGUAGGUUGUUCAUUAAGUUAUGUGGGAAAUACCUAGGCUUAACCUAGGGAUAUCGGAUGAUACUGAUGGACUUGAGUGUAGUAGAGGGUAGUGGAAUUUCCGGUGUAGCGGUGAAAUGCGUAGAGAUCGGAAGGAACACCAGUGGCGAAGGCGGCUACCUGGACUAACACUGACACUGAGGCACGAAAGCGUGGGUAGCAAACAGG
rnacentral:misc_RNA from 1 species